UACGUAGGGUGCAAGCGUUAUCCGGAAUUAUUGGGCGUAAAGAGCUCGUAGGCGGUUUGUCGCGUCUGCUGUGAAAACUGGAGGCUCAACCUCCAGCUGUCGUCGGAAACCCUCUGGCUAGAGUCCGGAAGAGGAGAGCGGAAUUCCUGGUGUAGCGGUGAAAUGCGCAGAUAUCAGGAAGAACACCGAUGGCGAAGGCAGCUCUCUGGGACGGUACUGACGCUGAGACGCGAAAGCGUGGGGAGCGAACAGG
rnacentral:rRNA from 1 species